rnacentral:rRNA from 1 species
UACGGGGGGGGCAAGCGUUGUUCGGAAUUACUGGGCGUAAAGGGCUUGUAGGUGGCCAACUAAGUCAGACGUGAAAUCCCUCGGCUUAACCGGGGAACUGCGUCUGAUACUGGAUGGCUUGAGUGUGGGAGAGGGAUGCGGAAUUCCAGGUGUAGCGGUGAAAUGCGUAGAUAUCUGGAGGAACACCGGCGGCGAAGGCGGCAUCCUGGACCAUUACUGACACUGAUAAGCGAAAGCCAGGGGAGCAAACGGG